rnacentral:rRNA from 1 species
GAUCCUGGCUCAGGAUGAACGCUGGCGGCGUGCUUAACACAUGCAAGUCGAACGAAGCACUUAAGUUUGAUUCUUCGGAUGAAGACUUUUGUGACUGAGUGGCGGACGGGUGAGUAACGCGUGGGUAACCUGCCUCAUACAGGGGGAUAACAGUUAGAAAUGGCUGCUAAUACCGCAUAAGCGCACAGGAUUGCAUGAUCCAGUGUGAAAAACUCCGGUGGUAUGAGAUGGACCCG